UGUGAUUCUUCAUUCCAGGAAACCCUAAAAAGAUGUUCCUUUGCAUGGAAGUAAGUACUGAAAGUUAGGACAUUCCUUUUGAAAGCACCCCAGAAGCAGACACAUUCAUUAAACCUAUUUCUGUACUGCUGUCCCCAGAAAGGCGAAGAAACAGUGAAAAAGGAGAAGUCCACACUGGGAGAAAAGCUAUUUUAUAUAGCAUAAUAAUCUUGUCAGGAAACAGAAAACAAAUUCCUGCCCCAUCUCAAGCUGUGGAAAACCUUGAACUCACAAGAAGCAAUAAGCUCAAACCAUAUAAGAGAAAGCGACUCAAACUUUUGAUAUUAAAAAAGAGGAUCUGUAAUUCUGAAGUGAUUUGCAAAUCUGCAUUUAGGACCACUCAUCCAAGAUAAUGUGGAUUUUCCCAGCCAUUUGGAAGGUGGUAUAGUGUGAUCAUGCUAAGGAAUUCAUGCUGGAUUAAAAAUGUCUCCAAAGAAGCUGCCCCAUAUGAACUUCUAAUGGAUAUGUGGAGAGCAAUGUGUUCCUUGCAUGCUCUGUGGAAAAGCCUAUCAAAACUCUAGAUAUGAGAGAUUAAUUGAGGAAAGGUUUUGAGGGAAAGCACAAUGGUCAACUCCAACAGCUACAGAGUGGCUCAAAAAUUUGAAUCAAAUUCUCCAAAUUUGAUUCAGACUUCAGAAUGGCCCCGAGACCAAGGAAUAUAGGAAAUGAAUGAAAACACAGAAAUAUUGGAAGGCCAAAAAGGCAAGAAGGAUUCAUGCAGAAACUCAACUGUCUCUGAUAUCAAGAUUAACAAUGAGAUUUGUCCUGCUGCUUCUCAGGCCUGUUGGAAGUGUACUGAAUAAUUUGCUGGCAGUCUCUGAUACAAUAUAUGCAAUCAUCUGUAGAUACCUCCUUAGUGAUGCAACUAGAGAAGAGGCUCACUGGCUGUUUCAGAGUAACAAGAGGAUAAAUUCAAUACUGAUCUUCUAUCCACACAAUGACACCUUCGAGGGUCUGAGAGAAAGUUCCAGUCAAAUCCACAUGCAUUAAGGGAACAGAAAUCUGAGAGGCCUGGAAACUGCACAGUACACCUGGAAAGGUGAUGAGAAUGUAACACAGGACAGCAUGGG
ensembl:lncRNA